AUUAGGUUGGUGCAAAAGUAAUCACAGUUUUUGCCAUUACUUUCAAAGGCAAAGACCGUGAUUACUUUUUUACCAAUCUAAUAG
ensembl:miRNA microRNA 548f-1